UUUAAAGAGAGUUUGAUCCUGGCUCAGGACGAACGCUGGCGGCGUGCCUAAUACAUGCAAGUCGAACGAACGGAGGAAGAGCUUGCUCUUCCAAAGUUAGUGGCGGACGGGUGAGUAACACGUGGGCAACCUGCCUGUAAGUUGGGGAUAACUCCGGGAAACCGGGGCUAAUACCGAAUGAUAAAGUGUGGCGCAUGCCACGCUUUUGAAAGAUGGUUUCGGCUAUCGCUUACAGAUGGGCCCGCGGUGCAUUAGCUAGUUGGUAGGGUAAUGGCCUACCAAGGCAACGAUGCAUAGCCGACCUGAGAGGGUGAUCGGCCACACUGGGACUGAGACACGGCCCAGACUCCUACGGGAGGCAGCAGUAGGGAAUCUUCCGCAAUGGACGAAAGUCUGACGGAGCAACGCCGCGUGUAUGAAGAAGGUUUUCGGAUCGUAAAGUACUGUUGUUAGAGAAGAACAAGGAUAAGAGUAACUGCUUGUCCCUUGACGGUAUCUAACCAGAAAGCCACGGCUAACUACGUGCCAGCAGCCGCGGUAAUACGUAGGUGGCAAGCGUUGUCCGGAUUUAUUGGGCGUAAAGCGCGCGCAGGCGGUCUUUUAAGUCUGAUGUGAAAGCCCCCG
rnacentral:rRNA from 1 species